rnacentral:rRNA from 1 species
UACAGAGGUCUCAAGCGUUGUUCGGAUUCAUUGGGCGUAAAGGGUGCGUAGGUGGCGCUGUAAGUCGGGUGUGAAAUUUCGGAGCUUAACUCCGAAACUGCAUUCGAUACUGCGGUGCUUGAGGACUGGAGAGGAGACUGGAAUCCAUGGUGUAGCAGUGAAAUGCGUAGAGAUCAUGAGGAAGACCAGUGGCGAAGGCGGGUCUCUGGACAGUUCCUGACACUGAGGCACGAAGGCCAGGGGAGCAAACGGG